UACAGAGGGUGCGAGCGUUAAUCGGAAUUACUGGGCGUAAAGCGUGCGUAGACGGCUAUCUAAGUCGGGUGUGAAAGCCCCGAGCUUAACUUGGGAAUUGCGCUUGUGACUGGCGUGCUGGAGUGUGGCAGAGGGAGGUGGAAUUCCACGUGUAGCAGUGAAAUGCGUAGAGAUGUGGAGGAACACCGAUGGCGAAGGCAGCCUCCUGGGCCAGCACUGACGCUCAUGCACGAAAGCGUGGGGAGCAAACAGG
rnacentral:rRNA from 1 species